GUAGGCAGCAAGCGUUGUUCGGAAUUACUGGGCGUAAAGAGUGUGUAGGCGGUGUUCUAAGUUUGUCGUGAAAUCUCCUGGCUUAACUGGGAGGGUGCGGCGAAAACUGGAAUGCUAGAGGAUGGGAGAGGUAAGCGGAAUUCCUGGUGUAGCGGUGAAAUGCGUAGAUAUCAGGAGGAACACCUGUGGUGUAGACAGCUUACUGGACCAUUUCUGACGCUGAGACACGAAAGCGUGGGUAGCAAACAGGAUUAGAUACCCUGGUAGUCCACGCCCUAAACGAUGCAUACUUGGUGUGAGCGAUUCAUUUCGUUCGUGCCGGAGCUAACGCGUUAAGUAUGCCGCCUGGGGAGUACGGUCGCAAGGCUG
rnacentral:rRNA from 1 species